GAGUUUGAUUCUGGCUCAGGAUGAACGCUAGCGGGAGGCCUAACACAUGCAAGCCGAGCGGGAUUUGUUGGUUAGCUUGCUAACUAAUAAUGAGAGCGGCGUACGGGUGCGUAACACGUGUGCAACCUGCCUUUAUCUGGGGGAUAGCCUUUCGAAAGGAAGAUUAAUACCCCAUAAUAUAUUAAUUGGCAUCAAUUGAUAUUGAAAGCUCCGGCGGAUAGAGAUGGGCACGCGUAAGAUUAGCUAGUUGGUGAGGUAACGGCUCACCAAGGCUGCGAUCUUUAGGGGGCCUGAGAGGGUGAUCCCCCACACUGGUACUGAGACACGGACCAGACUCCUACGGGAGGCAGCAGUGAGGAAUAUUGGACAAUGGGUGAGAGCCUGAUCCAGCCAUCCCGCGUGAAGGACUAAGGACCUAUGGUUUGUAAACUUCUUUUAUACAGGGAUAAACCUACUCUCGUGAGGGUAGCUGAAGGU
rnacentral:rRNA from 1 species